rnacentral:misc_RNA from 1 species
AUUUCGGGUCUCGUUUCGAUCAUCCGUUCGGCCUCUCCUUUUGGAGUCGUCGUCGGAUCGUUCGGUGUGCCUCGACUUGUGUUGGGACGACGCAUGAGUGGCGUUCGAGAUAUGUUUCCUUGUAGGCUCCGUGCUUUUGGCAUCGAACUGCAAUGGCUUAUCUUCUUCAUUAGUGGGCUCGCGUUGGCGUUUCCAACGUCGUUUGCGGUUGCUCGUUGGGUUCCUGCAUAUUAUAUCGGAUUCGAUAUUUGGAUGGUCUUGUAGUCCCGACACGGUUCGUCGAUCCUCCCUCGUCCCGCGCGGCGUCGGCGGUUAUUUUGUUGGCAUCGACGUCUGCCUUACCAGCCGUAGUCCCUUGUGGGAGCUAUUGUUCGUGAUGGCACGUCGAUGCUUUGGUCUCUCUCGGGUGCAGAGAAUUUCUAGUUAUCGCAUCGGUUCAUGACCCUUGUUAGCAUCUUCCAAAGCGUUGACGCUUAUGCAUUUACGACCCUCGUUCUCAUCCAGGUGCUCACGGAACCUGUUCGUUCGGUGUUGUACCUAGGGAGUCAUCGAGGUCGAGGACGGAAUCUACCUGGUUGAU